CAUUCAGCCGUUCCUAUAGGGAAAAUGAAUGGGGAAAGAACAGGGUAUUGGGAUGAAUGCAGAAAAUUCACUUUAGCGGUACUAGCGGACCAGCACUUGUGAUCCUUAAACCCCACCCACACAAAAUGCAUGAUAGGAAGAUGACAUGUUGGGCCUAUGGGAUUGGGUGAUCAGCACUAACCAGACUAUUGUUGGUUGUAGGAAUGCAUGGGAAAUGUUAGAUGUCAAGAUUGAGUCUGAUGCAUCUACCAGUGAGAGGAGUGAGAAUGAGAAUUCUGGAUGGAUGACUGUCGCUAAACGUCGGAGUAAGAUAGCCAAAGUGUCAGUUGAAAUGCAGUUUAGUAAGCAGAAGGCUCACACUCCAACUUCUCAGUUUGUAGUGGGAGUAGGGUUUAGGGAUAAGGAGAUGUACGUUGGGAAUCCGUUCUAUGUUUACAAAAUGGUGAAGAAUGCAUUGUGUGCUGUGGAGUCUGUGAGAAUGACCAGAGGUGGAAUUGUAUUGCUCUGUUGUGCAUCGGAAAGCAAAAUCAGUGAGCAUUGAACCUCAGGAGUAAGGUAUGGUGGCCAUGCAUGAACAAGGCUGCAAAGAGACACUUCAAGUCAUGCCAUGGUUGUCAGAUUGUACCACGACCAGAUGUGCCAAAACUGCUGAGACCCACAGCGCUACCUGACAUUGGCCACUGACCUAUUGGGUUCACUACCAACAGUACACUCAAUACUAGUAGUUGUAGACUACUACAGCAGAUAUUAUGAAUAUGAUAUCAUGCAACUACAACAGAAAAGGUGAUUGGAGACUAUUUUCAGUCGUCAUGGUCUACCACUAACAAUCCGGUCUGAUUGUGGCCCACAGUACAUGUAAUCGCAGUUCCAGUACUUCUGCCAGGAAAAUGGGAUACAGCAGGUAAAAACAAUGCAAAAAUGGGCACAGGCAAUGGUGAAGUGGAGUGGCAAAAUGCUUCCCUCAUGAAAUGGAUUCGCAUUGCACAAGCUGAGGGGCUGGACUGAAAGCGGGAGCUACGCAAGUACGUGACAGUAUAUAGAUCCAUUGAUCACUCUACCAUGGGCAGGAGCCCAGCUGAGCUCCUUUUCAAAAGGAAAAUGAGGGGAAAGCUCCCAGAUAUAGCUACACCACGGAGUUACCUGGAGACACGGGACUAUGAUGCCGAGCAGAAAGGAAAAUCCUAAAUCUAUGCAGACAACCGUCGCAGAGCCAAACACUCUGAUGUGGACAUCAGAGAUCAGGUUCUCCUACAACAGGACAAAACAGACAAGUUCACAACAACUUUCAACAAGAUACCACACAUGGUGAUCAAUAAAGAGGGAAACAAUGUGGUUGUUCAAUCUCAAACUGGAGCCAGGUAUUUAAGGAAUACAACAUUCGUGAAGAGGUAUAUAAUUGAGGAGCCGGAUCCACAAUCUAAGGACAACUAAUCUGAGACAGUACAUAGAAUCCAAACCAGAGACCAUCUGUGAGGGAUCACUACAAAGACCAGACACCCAUGCCAGUCAGGCCUCACAGACAAAUUCAACUGCCACAGAAGUUAACAGACUUUGUCAUUAAAUAAUUAUCCUGAUGCCAAGACUCUGAAUAUUUGAGUUAUUUUGUGAAAAAGAAAAUGUGAAAAAUGUUUUGUCACAAAAGAAAGGGAAGUCCAUUAGGAGAACAGAAAUAAUAAGACAUUGAACAGAUUUCAGUUGUUUAUUGAUAAGAUAAAGGUUGCUAUACAGGUAAAGAAUAAGUGCUGUUGUGUAUGUCAGGGUGACAUUGACGUUCAUAUCCAUGUAAAGGAGGGAUGUUGUGUCUUGGCAUGACAUACUGAGAUAGGACGUCACCACGUCAGUAAAGUAAUGUGGGGAUUACACAGAUAGUGAUGGAGUAAAGACAUGAAGUUUACCUCUGAGUCUGGUUCAUUUCAUUCAGUAUAAUAUCUUAACUUAAUACGAGUUGUAAGUAUUAGAUUGAACACACACCACUGUUAUACUGUGCCAUUAUUUGCCUGUUUAUGCCCCGCCUGUUAGCUUGCAAGAUUCUUUUAAUUUUCCUUUGACCUCUCUCAUCAUAAAGCUGUUUUUGCCCACAGGACUGUUGCUGACUGGAUAUUUGUUGUUUGUCGCAACAUUCUCGGUAAACCCUAGACACUGUUGUGCGUGAAAAGCCCAUUUCUGAGAUACUGAAACUGGUGCGCCUGGCACCGACGAUCAAAUCAUGCUCAAAGUUGCUUAGGUCACUAUUUUUGUUCAAUCAAACAGUAACUGAAUGCUUCAAUGCCCGUCUGCCUGCUUUAUAUAGCAAUCCACGACCACGUGACUCACUGUCUGUAGGAGUGAACCAUUUUCGUGAACGGCAAACCAAAUAAACUGGCCACUGAGUGUAUACCACCCCCUCAUGUUUUAUUCAACGAGGCACCUUCAUUUUGUGUCUAUCUGUCUCUGUCUGUCAACAUAUUGGUCAUUAGCAAUGUCCUUUUUCAAUUCAUAAGUGCCAUUUUUUUUUCGCAUAAGAGCUAAAUAAAUUGUAUUUACAUGUGCCAUAAUACACAUAAUAUACAAUCAAAUAAAGCAUCAUCUCCUUCAGCUAAUGAGAAAUAAAUUGAUAAUUUCAGCCUCCAGUAUUUAUGCUGCAGUAGUUUAUGUGUCGGGGGGGCUAGGGUCAGUUUGUUAUAUCUGGAGUACUUCUCCUGUCCUAUUCGGUGUCCUGUGUGAAUUUUAAGUGUGCUCUCUCUAAUUCUCUCUUUCUCUCUUUCUUUCUCUCUCACGGAGGACCUAGGACCAUGCCUCAGGACUAUGACUAUUGGAUCCAUUUCUAGACAGUAUGAGUAUGAGUGAAUCUUUGACUGAGUGAUUUUACAAUCGGAUGAAGCGGGACAGUCUCAGGAGGCGCAGCAGGCUGAGGAUCUUGGUGAAGCGGACGAUACGGAGAGCACGGGCCGUGCGGUACACAUCCGAAGCCUCCAUCUGGGCCUCCAGGUCCACUAUCAGGAAGAUGUAGUCCAUUGGGAUGGAGGAGAUGAAGUCCACCACGAACCAAGUCUUCAGCAAGCAGUACCGGAGUGCCAAGUCUGGGACCAAAAGGCACCUGAACAGCUUCUACCCUCAAGCCUUAAGACGAAUGAACAGUUAGUAACAUGGCUACCUGGACAAUUUACAUUAAAUAUCCUGAUUGCCUAGCCACUUUUAUCCUUAUGUAUCCACAUGUACAUACUGUAUUAUCUCAACUACUUUUUACCCGGCACUGGUACUCCUUGUAUAUAGCCUCUUUAUUGUUUUAAUUGUGUUACUAUUUCAUUUUUUGUUUAGCAAUUAAUUGUAUUUUUUAACUCUGCACAGUUGGGAAUGAGCUCAUAAGUAAGCAUUUCAAAGUAAAAAUCUACACCUGUUGUAUUCUCAACAUGUGACCAAUAAAAUUUGAUUUGAAAUACCUGUGUCCACCCUUCUUACUGUUCUCCCAUUUGCCAAUAUCCCCCUUUGUUUCCAGCUGUUUUGAA